GCUUGGGAAGUAUGCCUUGAGGUGGGGGACGAACAGUUGGAAACGACUGCUAAUACCGCAUAAUGUCUACGGACCAAAGUGGGGGACCUUCGGGCCUCACGCCUUUAGAUUAGCCCAAGUGAGAUUAGCUAGUUGGUGAGGUAAGAGCUCACCAAGGCGACGAUCUCUAGCUGGUUUGAGAGGAUGAUCAGCCACUACUGGGGACUGAGACACGGGCCCUAGACUCCUACGGGAGGCAGCAGUGGGGAAUAUUGCACAAUGGGGGAAACCCUGAUGCAGCCAUGCCGCGUGUGUGAAGAA
rnacentral:rRNA from 1 species